ensembl:lncRNA
GUUGAAGAAUGAAUCACUAUUACUGAUGAUCUUGGUAAUGAUAGGAAAUUAAUCUCCACUGUAAAUUCAUUAGAGAAUUCAUCAGUGAAUAGCAAUGACUACACCAGAAAGAAUGGCCUAUUUCUUUUGAUUUUAGUUUAAGGAGACAAGAUAAAGUAAGAAAAUAGAGUUGGUGUUUCUUAUAAUGAAAAUAGAGGUAAAUGUAGAAUAGUUGUGGUAUUUUGUCUUUCUGCCACAUAACAAUAUUCUUAUCAUGCUUUUGUAGCCGCCUAAAAGCAUCUGGGAAUUUACUAUGGUACAACUGGCUUUAGAGUUCAUUAUGGUGUUGACAGUCAGUAGACAGCUAUUAGAAUAUUAGUUCUCCAGUGAUUGAAACAUGCGUAAAAGAAGGCAACUUUUUUACAUUCAUCAUCAACCUAAAGCAAAGCACCUUUUGACUAACCCACUAAAAAAGGCCUUGUUCAUUGACAGCAUGAUCUUUGUAUUGUGUGACUAACUUAAAAGUCUGUGAUCUGAACCCAUGUGUCCUGUAGAACAAUUCCAGAGAUGCUAAUGACUAUCUAAGAUCAUCACAAAACCAGGCAGUAAUUUCCCUAGAGUUAGAAAUGCUUCCUUGGUUUUCCUCAUUGCUGUGCCUUUGAGAUGUUAGAAAUAGUUAAUGAUUUUCUGCUACAGUGAAAAAAAUCUACAGAUUCAUUGUCUCAAUGCGAUAUUUGCAUACAUCUCUGAAUUUUAGAUUGUUUGAUAGAGUGCUAUGACGACAUGCAGUCACCGCUACAAAAUACAAUGAAUAGCAGUUGCCAUGAACUUGGUGUCACCUAUUUUGAGACCUGAGCACAGAGCUAAACACUUCACCAUCUGAUUCCCCACUGGAAUUUUCUAUAAAAAGGCAACUGGCUUUGAAAUAUUUAGAGACACUGAUCCAGCCGGAUGGAAUAAAAAAUACACAUAUUUACAACUGCAAAGGUACAUUAUUUUUAAGCAUAACAGAGUCUAACAAUUAAAUAUUGUAACAGGUAUGGUAAUUGUCCUCCUUGAAUGGCAGGAUAUUGUGUUUUUCAAAGGAAAUCAGGUUUUAGUUGUCUAAAAUAUUAACAUUUGGAAGGCAUGUCACAAGGAAAAAAAGAAGAGUUACUAUUUUGAAAGAAGUGUUGUGUGCUUGCAUCGUAUAAACCAAACUCCCUGAACUCUAAGACAAUUACAAACUGGAUGGGACAUAAUUAAAAAAAUACAUUUAUGGGAGUCCACAGCAACAAGCCAUGGAAUUCUCAAUUCAAUUAUAUAUUACUUUAAGGGCAGCUUGGUUUCAGUGAAGUGGAAUAAAAUGAUAAGAUUGGACUAA